GGCCAGGGCAGAGUUAAUAGCGGAAAAGGGUUUUCGAUAUUAGAAACUCUAGUCGAAUAAAUUUAACAUAUGACAGACGAUGGGGUUUGACGAGUUAUUCCAUAACCUCCGUCUAGUCGGGACUCAUGAUAGAAGGAUUAUAUCACACGGUAACUGCACCAAGAGGUUCAGUAUUCCAUUCUACUGGAAUCCCACUAUAUGCUGCUAGGCGUCACUGGUGGAUUGUGAGACUCAUGAGAAUUAUCUAAAUGAUCGAUAAUUCUUAUUGGGCUGAGUUGGAAUUAUUCCGAUCCACUGAAAAGAGUUUCAGUGAUAUUGUUGAUAGUGAUCAAAAUAUAUCUCACUACCAGAUAGAAUAGAACCUAUGGGGUCACACACAUAAGAGAUUGUGAUUGAUCGGAUAGCUAGAUCGCGAUUAUUGAAUCGCCGAAGGACCUGAUUGUCAAUAUGUUGAUAAUUGGACUAAUUUGUAAUUAUUACAAAUUAGUGGUAUUAAAGUGUAAAUGUUACAAGAG
rnacentral:lncRNA from 1 species